rnacentral:sRNA from 1 species
UAUCUCUCCGUACGGGAAGGAUGAGAAGCUUCGACUAAGGUUCGAUUCGAGCGCAGCGAGAAAGCGUUGCCGCAGGCAACGACCCGAAGGGCGAAGCGCGCAGCGCUGAGUAAUCCUUCCCCCACCACC